UCCUUCUGGGACGGAACAGCAGCAGAUAAUAUGUUCUUCAGACAUCAUGACUCCUGGGUUAAUCUGUGGAUUUAAAAGUUACAGUCUGACCCAGCUUGACCCAGCUGGGAAAAUGUGACCUUUGUCACAAUUAGAGGAUCUUCAGUGAUGCUACACAAAACAUGGUACAAGUUAAAUGGAAUAUUGUCCAAAAUCCUAGUUCCAUAGUGGAAGGCCAAGUUGGCCUAGUCUGUUUAGAGUUACAUGCAAUUAUAGAGAAAAGUGAUUGAGAGAAAUUCCUUUGAAACUCCAGUUUGAGAAAUAAAAAGUAACCUACAUACCUCUUUAUUAAAACAAUCCAUGGCACCCUUGAGUUUGAUGAAUAUCUUGGACAAGUUACCCGUCUCUCAUUAAACAGUGGCUAUCGGCCAUCGGUCCAUGGCUUCAGAGAUGAGCUGCUUGCCACCAGUGAUUUCUGUUCUCCGAAGUGAAGCUCGGAGAACUUCACUUCGGAGCUAGCUUCAUCCAGCUCUGACCUUCAGCUCUUGCUGGGUAGGUUCACGGCCGAGUGUGAAGCGGCUGGGAUGAGGAUCAGCACCUCCAAAUCUGAGACCAUGGUUCUCGACCGGAAAAGGGUGGCUUGCCACCUCCGGGUCGGGGGAGAGGUCCUACCUCAAGUGGAGGAGUUUAAGUAUCUCGGGGUAUUGUUCACGAGUGAGGGUAGGAGGGAUCGGGAGAUCGACAGGCGGAUCGGUUCGGCGUCUGCAGUGAUGCGGACGCUGAGCCGAUCUGUCGUGGUGAAGAGGGAGCUGAGCCAGAAAGCCAGGCUUUCGAUUUACCGGUCGAUCUACGUCCCAAUCCUCACCUAUGGUCAUGAGCUUUGGGUAAUGACCGAAAGAACGAGAUCGCGGAUACAAGCGGCCGAAAUGAGUUUCCUCCGUAGGGUGGCCGGGCUCAGCCUUAGAGAUAGGGUGAGGAGCUCGGACAUUCGGGAGGGACUCGGAGUAGAACCGCUGCUCCUCCGGAUCGAAAGGAGCCAGUUGAGGUGGUUUGGGCAUCUGGUCAGGAUGCCUCCUGGACGCCUCCCCGGGGAGGUGUUUCGGGCAUGUCCUGCUGGCAGGAGGCCCCCGGGUCGACCCAGGACACGUUGGAGAGGUUACAUCUCCAAUCUGGUCCGGGAACGCCUUGGGGUCCUGCCGGAGGAGCUGGUGGACAAGGCCGGGGAGAGGACGGCCUGGAGCUCCCUAGUUGGGAUGCUGCCCCCGCGACCCGGACCCGGAUAAGCGGAGGAAGACGAGACGAGAAGAGACGAAGUGAAGCUGUAACCAUCAUCAAGAAGCUGCCAGUCUGGAUACCACUUCUUGACUUCAAGGAGAAUCUUUCGUCUUCUGAUUUGAUGACACUUUUUCCUUCUGGUGGAUCUGGUGAAUAAUGUACCUCUCUGUCUUUUCACUUCUGUCCUCCUUUUCUCUUGUUGACAGCAUCUUCUUGUCAUCCAGCUGCCAUCAACUUCCGACAGUAAGUGCCUGUAACCCAGAAGCUAGAACCUUAAUGAGGUAUUAACUAAUUGGCUUACUAAUAUGAUCCAUCCUCAAUUUAGAUAAAAUAUAAAAUAUAAAUUAAGGAAAUUAACAAUACUAAUUAAUAGAUAUCUAAUUAACUAAUAGAUAAUUUCAUAAUGAAUUAUUGGAAGGGUGAAUAACUAAAAUAACGAGUUUAAUAUUAAACAUCGGUUAAAACAAGAAUCUUGAACAUCCCUAACAGAAACAGAAGAGGAAAGCUGUAUACUAUUGGUCCAGGUGGGAAUCUGAAAUUUCAUUGGCUGAGAGAAAUAAGUCCCGCCUCCGCGAAAUAAAACCGUGCGACGCAGCUGAGCGAGAGGAGAGACAAACGGCUGUGCAGCACGCAGAUACAGAAAGCAAAGACUGAGCGGUUAGAGAGAGAGAGAGAGAGAAAAAAAAACAACGGUCGAGGCCGUGAAGAACCCUGAUUUGGGUGCCGCAUAGAUAGAGGGAGAGGCGGACUUGACUCCUUCUAAUAAGAGCUAGGAACUUGGAACCAACGCGGUGAGUAAAGAAAAAAGAAGAGAAAAAGCUAACGAUGCAACUUAAAAAAAAAAAGGAAACUUAAAUAGCUUAUCAAAUUAAUUCCAUUCUUAUAGAUUUGUGUGGAGACGACAGAGUGAACCAAUCCUCUGUAGGAGGGAACCGUUGGAGCGCGUUGGUGAGUGAAUGAGAUUAAAUUCAGUAAAUUAUUAAAUUCAAAAAGCUAAUUACAGCAACCGAGGUGACAGCAGUGGGCUGCUAGACGUUAGAUCCCAGGAGUUAACAUCUCAAACUACCAGUUAACGGUGGUAGGGCAUAUAGGAGUUAACGGCUCAAACCGCCAGUCAACGGUGGUAGGGCAUAUGGGAUUCCCAGGAGUUAACGGCUCAAACCGCCAGUUAACGGUGGUACGGCCUAGAUGUACAAGGUCCUCAGGGGCGUUAUAGCUAACGCCAUAGAAUUAGCAAUGCGUCCCUUAACCAAACAUUUAAUAAUAAAAAAAUAGAUAAAUAAAAAUAAAUAAAAGCUAACUGAUUAGGGAGGAAUUAUUUUACAAAGGUGGACCAAAGGACCAGAAUUUAUAUUUUGUUGAAUUUUGUUAUAGAACAUUUUAUUUAUUUAUUUAUUUAUUUAUUUAUUUAUUUAUUUAUUUAUUGUGUUACAGAUAUACAAGGUGUCACAAUGCUGUAUAGAAACACAACUAAAUGUAUCCUUGUUGUCAUGAAUGUAUUUCUUGUUGAAUAGUGUAGAGUAAUAGAAUCUAACUGAGCCUAUUGAGCUGAACAAUUGUUGUCAUAUGUAAUUAUAUUUCCAGAGCUACUGAGAAUUAUUUUAAUAGACAAUCAAAUUGAUGUUAUGUUAGUUGAACUGUGAACCCAAACAUGAUUGGCUAUGCCAAUAGAGUGAAGCAUUUGUUUAAGUCUGUAAGACUUUAUGCUGUGAUGUGACGAGAAGGGUCGAUGCCAACUCGCUAACAGUCCUGUUGUUUACAGGCUGGGUUUUUUUUUUCCUUGGGUUUGAUCCCGACUCCUAUGAUCACUCACUUGGAACGAGAACUGGAUUUCUUCCUGACGAGGGAGAUGGCGAGCCUUAACCACUGAACGAACCAGGACAUCUCAAGUAACUGAAGAGCAGACUGCUCUCUUCUGUGAACAAUCUCAACGGUGCGGUAGGAAAAAAUCGCACCACCGGACUCUGACUUUCACCCCAAGCGUGGGGAUUUGACUUGACGCCGGCUGACUUGUGACUCAUAUGAUCAAAUCUCAUACCGAGCAUUUUACUAUUGUCGAUUGUUUUCAUCUGUUUUUGUGUGUUAUCUUUAUGUGUUAUAUUUCCCAUUAUUAUUAAAAUUUAGUAUAUAAACCGUUUCAUGCUAUACCCGUGACUCCAGUCAUUCUUAAACAACCUCCAAUUCUCCCCGAACCUAAUUAUUGGCCCAUUUGUUUAUUUUUUCUUUUAAUUAUCUUAUUGUAUCCUGUAAUCCGGUUACAUAAAACUUGGCGAGCCAGCCAGGAGUCUUAAACUUUAGGGAAUACCAUCCCUUGCCAGAGCCUGGCUCACUGAGACAGGGGUAAUUGUUUGGAGUUACCUUUAAAAUUACAUUAGCAAAUUUGUCAAGUAUUUCACUUUUAAUGGCCUUGGUAACAUGCAAGAGAAAACAUGCUUUCCCAGGAUGCUUCACUGUUCAAAAUGUAAUAUUUUUCAGUGCCUUACUAACCAAAAACAUGUGAACAAAUAAAAUGAAGAUUUUGUUUACAAUAGCUACAAUCAGUAAAAACAAACAAAAAAAAGAUAAUCUAUAUUUUUUCCUGGACAACAACAACAACAAAAAAAAACUGCCGGUGCUUUUAUUUUGAAAAACAGCCGGUGCUUUUAUUUUGAACCUUUUAAAUUCUUAGGCCUUUAAAAGAUUUAUGAAUGUUUUAGAUUUACCCUUUUAGAGGAGCCAAUAGGUGCCGUUUGAGAGUCGGCUUAUUCUGUUAAAUAGUAAAAUGACUCAGCUAGUUUGUGCUUGAAUACCUGAUGAUAAGUUGAGCUUAAGUUUUAUGGGCUGUCAUGUUACAGAAUCCAUCCCGACAACGUUUAAUUAAUUUUCCCCUUUAAAUUCUGUCUCACAAACACCAAUAAAAGUGAAUCACACAAGAAAAACGUAAUUCCACUUGUCUGUUGAUAGUUAUUUAAAUCAGAGUGUCCUUGAACAAUGUUGAUGUUUGCUCCUCAUUCCUGUUCAUCUAGUCUGGCUCCUCCCUUCGUCGGUUGCAACAGAACCUCACAGAACUGGGAGUUUUCCAUUUUAAAGCAUCAGACAAGGACCUCCUACAAGGUCCUCAGCUGCUUUAGUUAACCAGGAGGAAAUCUUCCAUCGGGUGAGAGAAACUCAAGCAGGAGGAAAAAGACAGCAGUCAGUGUGUGAAGGUGUCGGACCCGUGGGGAACGGGCUUUCUCAGUCCUAGCUCCGUCACUCUGGAACCAGUUGCCACCCUCAGUAGGCUGUCCCCACCUCUGCGGGUUUUUAAGUCACCUGAAAACCCACUUCUUCCGCUUGGCGUUGCCUGAACGUG